UACAGAGGUUGCAAGCGUUGUUCGGAUUUAUUGGGCGUAAAGGGUCCGUAGGCGGUUCGGAAAGUCAGAUGUGAAAUCCUACAGCUUAACUGUAGAACUGCAUUUGAAACUUCCGAACUAGAGUAUGAGAGGGGUUAAGGGAAUUCCCGGUGUAAGGGUGAAAUCUGCAGAGAUCGGGAGGAACACCAGUCGCGAAGGCGCUUAACUGGCUCAUUACUGACGCUCAGGGACGAAAGCUAGGGGAGCAAAC
rnacentral:rRNA from 1 species